rnacentral:rRNA from 1 species
UACGUAGGAUGCUAGCGUUGUCCGGAUUUACUGGGCGUAAAGCGCGCGCAGGCGGCACUGUAAGUAAGGUGUGAAAUAUCCCUGCUCAACGGGGAGGGUGCACUUUAGACUGCAGAGCUAGAGGACGGUAGAGGGGGGUGGAAUUGCUGGUGUAGCGGUGAAAUGCGUAGAGAUCAGCAGGAACACCCGUGGCGAAGGCGGCCCCCUGGGCCGAACCUGACGCUGAGGCGCGAAAGCGUGGGGAGCAAACGGG